GAUGAACGCUGACAGAAUGCUUAACACAUGCAAGUCGAUGGGGAAGGGUAAGCUUGCUUACUUGGUAACCAUGGCGGACGGGUGAGUAACGCGUAAGGAACUUACCUGCGGGACUGGGAUAACGGAGGGAAACUUCUGACAAGACCGGAUAAAGUUACUGGGCAGCAUUGUUUGGUAAUGAAAGGAGACGCCUGCGGAGAGUCUUGCGUCCUAUUAGCUAGUUGGUUGGGUAACGGCUGACCAAGGCGAAGAUAGGUAGCCGGCCUGAGAGGGUGGACGGCCACAAGGGGACUGAGAUACGGCCCUUACUCCUACGGGAGGCAGCAGUGGGGAAUAUUGGACAAUGGGGGCAACCCUGAUCCAGCAAUUCUGUGUGCACGAAGAAGGUUUUCGGAUUGUAAAGUGCUUUCAGCAGGGAAGAAGAGAGUGACGGACCUGCAGAAGAGCGCG
rnacentral:rRNA from 1 species